rnacentral:lncRNA from 1 species
GGAACAAAGGAAUUCUGAAAUGUAAUAUUUUUAACACUAGCUUCUUUCUGGGGUUUAAAAAUGAAUUUUGAUUUACAAUCUCUGAAGAAAAUAUAUAGAAAAUAGUUUCCAAAAUUAACACAUCAAUUAAACCAAAUGGAUGGUAAUAAUUGUGUGAAAAUAAUAAAUCUUUUAUAAAGAACAUUAUAGGAAAUAAAAUAUGGAUGUACCCUGUGACUUACAUAGGUGCUAUAUUAAUCACUGAGGUGUGAAUUAUAGAGGUGAAGAGUUUAUGCUUCUUUCCUUUGUGUUGAGCAUUCUGAUAAAUGAGAGUCUAAUGUGACAGGAAAAGAUAACAUAAUGAAUAUGUUAUUAUGCUUGAAGGAACAUGAAAAAAAAAAAAAAGUGACUGACACUGCAUUUUGUUCCAGGUGGGAGUAAAAAGCAAGCAGUUCCUGGCCCAUAAUACUCCAGUUUAGGAUGUCUGACUGAUGGCAUGCUGGCACCAACCUUGGAGGAAGUGAUGAGCUUCAGCUCCAGAACAAUGAUCAAGGACUUUCUUCAUGAGACUCUCUUCAUCAAACAGGAGAAUCUUUCUUGGAAGCAUCUAUGUUUCAAUUGUGAGUGAUUUGUCACCCCAACGGAUGUCUCCAGAGUGCCUCUGAGCAGUGUUCAUGCCCUCCCCUUCUCCUGUGGGGGUAUGGGAAUGUUCCUGUCCUGAGACCACAGCAGGAUGUGCCUUGGUCAAAGGCUUGGACUCUUGGAUCAUCUGGUGACUUCAGAAUUCUGUGAUCAGUUUUUACAGCAGUUACAGGAAAGAUUCGCUCAUCUUCACAAAUGUAUCCCUGACAAGUCUUGGUGGUUUAAUGUGCUGUAGCAAUUUUUAUUCUUCCCAUCAAAUUUCAUAAGAACUCCCUAAUCAUAGUCUCCUUUAGUUUGGAUGUUUCAUGUGAGCGUGUUUGUGGCAACAGUGAGUCUCUUUUCUCUCAGCUACUCUGGUUUUAUAGUGUCUUAUCAUCAAGUUAUUUUCUGGUUCCAUAUUUUUGAUGGACAAUUCUGACUUAUAAGUAUAUAAAGGAGAAUAUUGUAAUAUUGAAAUUGACCAAAUUCCUAUGAAAUUUUAGAGUUUUAAUUCUCAAAAGCAUGCAAUAAAUACAUUAGUUUAUAUAUUUGAAAUGUUAAAACAGUUUAUUUUCAGACAAUUUGAUAAAGAUCAUGUUUUUAUAAGUUUAAAAAACUCAUUUUUUAG